rnacentral:lncRNA from 1 species
AUCUGGGCAAAGCUGAAUGUUUUUCUGUGGCUAGGGCUAUGGGUCAAAGCACUAAGUUCAGGCUGAGACUAACCAGAUGAUCCAAUCCUUCAGCCAUAGUUGUGUUCUGUCACAGGAGUGUAUACAGACAUGGACUAUCAAGAUAUGAAUGAAGUUUGUUCAAGUUUCCUGGAGAGGGAAAGUUUUUCUCACUCUUUGGGAAAGGUUCUGGACCAUAUUUCUCUCUCUUGUGUUGUAGAAGAAGAAGGCCAUUUCUACGGGUAUUGUGGAGAACCACUUUCUGAUGACCAGGCGAGGCUAGCACAAGGAAGAAUGCGGGUAACUCUGGAAAAGAAGAAAAGAUCACCUCACCCUUCCCCUUCAUUGAGAAUCCUUUCCUGCUACGAUCCAAAGAGAAAAGGGUGAUUCCAAAGUACAACUGAACUUGAGGACCCCAACAAAGUGUGGGCUCUGAAAAGGAACAUGGACACCACCUGGAAACUUGCCAGGAAAUACUUUUGUGUUCCACUCUAGACCUGCUGGAUCAGAAACUCCAGGGGCUGGGCCCAGUAACUGGUGUUUUACCAAGCCCAUCUGGGCAUUCGGAGGCACAGUAGAGUUUGAGAACCCCUGCAAGAGAGCCUUGAGUUGCUUUGUUUCCUUGCCAUUCUCUGCUAUUUAGAAGUAUUGGUACUGAUGGAGUCUUGAGUCUGGGUGUAAUUUUAAAGUCUUCCCACACUGGAAACUAUUUCUCUAACUUUUACAACUGGGAUCAUGUAAACUUCUGCCUAUAUGCUAAUCCUGGU